rnacentral:rRNA from 1 species
UGGGGGAUUAGUGGCGAACGGGUGAGUAACACGUGAGUAACCUGCCCUUGACUCUGGGAUAAGCCUGGGAAACUGGGUCUAAUACCGGAUACGACCAUCUGACGCAUGUCAUGGUGGUGGAAAGCUUUUGUGGUUUUGGAUGGACUCGCGGCCUAUCAGCUUGUUGGUGGGGUAAUGGCCUACCAAGGCGACGACGGGUAGCCGGCCUGAGAGGGUGACCGGCCACACUGGGACUGAGACACGGCCCAGACUCCUACGGGAGGCAGCAGUGGGGAAUAUUGCACAAUGGGCGCAAGCCUGAUGCAGCGACGCCGCGUGAGGGAUGACGGCCUUCGGGUUGUAAACCUCUUUCAGUAGGGAAGAAGCGAAAGUGACGGUACCUGCAGAAGAAGCGCCGGCUAACUACGUGCCAGCAGCCGCGGUAAUACGUAGGGCGCAAGCGUUAUCCGGAAUUAUUGGGCGUAAAGAGCUCGUAGGCGGUUUGUCGCGUCUGCUGUGAAAGACCGGGGCUCAACUCCGGUUCUGCAGUGGGUACGGGCAGACUAGAGUGCAGUAGGGGAGACUGGAAUUCCUGGUGUAGCGGUGAAAUGCGCAGAUAUCAGGAGGAACACCGAUGGCGAAGGCAGGUCUCUGGGCUGUAACUGACGCUGAGGAGCGAAAGCAUGGGGAGCGAACAGGAUUAGAUACCCUGGUAGUCCAUGCCGUAAACGUUGGGCACUAGGUGUGGGGGACAUUCCACGUUUUCCGCGCCGUAGCUAACGCAUUAAGUGCCCCGCCUGGGGAGUACGGCCGCAAGGCUAAAACUCAAAGGAAUUGACGGGGGCCCGCACAAGCGGCGGAGCAUGCGGAUUAAUUCGAUGCAACGCGAAGAACCUUACCAAGGCUUGACAUGAACCGGAAAGACCUGGAAACAGGUGCCCCGCUUGCGGUCGGUUUACAGGUGGUGCAUGGUUGUCGUCAGCUCGUGUCGUGAGAUGUUGGGUUAAGUCCCGCAACGAGCGCAACCCUCGUUCUAUGUUGCCAGCGCGUUAUGGCGGGGACUCAUAGGAGACUGCCGGGGUCAACUCGGAGGAAGGUGGGGACGACGUCAAAUCAUCAUGCCCCUUAUGUCUUGGGCUUCACGCAUGCUACAAUGGCCGGUACAAAGGGUUGCGAUACUGUGAGGUGGAGCUAAUCCCAAAAAGCCGGUCUCAGUUCGGAUUGGGGUCUGCAACUCGACCCCAUGAAGUCGGAGUCGCUAGUAAUCGCAGAUCAGCAACGCUGCGGUGAAUACGUUCCCGGGCCUUGUACACACCGCCCGUCAAGUCACGAAAGUUGGUAACACC